rnacentral:rRNA from 1 species
CCCUUAGAUGUCCUGGGCUGCACGCGCGCUACACUGGAAGUUACGGAUUGAGAUACUACCUUGUCCGAAAUGGUCCGGGUAAUCACCUAAAAGCUUGUCAUAAUUGGAAUGGAUUAUUGUAACUAGUAAUCCUGAACGAGGAAUUCCUAGUAAGUCCCAGUCAACAGCUGGUACUGAUUACGUCCCUGCCCUUUGUACACACCGCCCGUCGCUACUACUGAUUGGACGUUUAAGCAAGAUUUUUAAACACUGACAGUGUGUAGUUCACGCUAUACUACAGUGAGAAGAAGAAGAUCGAGCUUACUUGUCUAGAGGAAGUAAAAGGCGGAACA